AUUGAACGCUGGCGGCAGGCCUAACACAUGCAAGUCGAGCGGAUGAAGGGAGCUUGCUCCUGGAUUCAGCGGCGGACGGGUGAGUAAUGCCUAGGAAUCUGCCUGGUCGUGGGGGAUAACGUCCGGAAACGGGCGCUAAUACCGCAUCCGUCCUGAGGGAGAAAGUGGGGGAUCUUCGGACCUCACGCUAUCAGAUGAGCCUAGGUCGGAUUAGCUAGUUGGUGGGGUAAAGGCCUACCAAGGCGACGAUCCGUAACUGGUCUGAGAGGAUGAUCAGUCACACUGGAACUGAGACACGGUCCAGACUCCUACGGGAGGCAGCAGUGGGGAAUAUUGGACAAUGGGCGAAAGCCUGAUCCAGCCAUGCCGCGUGUGUGAAGAAGGUCUUCGGAUUGUAGAGCACUUUAAGUUGGGAGGAAGGGCAGUAAGUUAAUACCUUGCUGUUUUGACGUUACCAACAGAAUAAGCACCGGCUAACUUCGUG
rnacentral:rRNA from 1 species